UACAGAGGGUGCGAGCGUUGUCCGGAAUCACUGGGCGUAAAGGGCGCGUAGGCGGCCUGAUAAGUAGGGGGUGAAAUCUUGCGGCUCAACUGCAAGGCUGCCUCCUAAACUGUCAGGCUUGAGCACAGUAGAGGCAGGUGGAAUUCCCGGUGUAGCGGUGGAAUGCGUAGAGAUCGGGAAGAACAUCGGUGGCGAAGGCGGCCUGCUGGGCUGUUGCUGACGCUGAGGCGCGACAGCGUGGGGAGCAAACAGG
rnacentral:rRNA from 1 species